rnacentral:rRNA from 1 species
UACGUAGGGGGCAAGCGUUGUCCGGAAUCAUUGGGCGUAAAGAGCGUGUAGGCGGCCAGAUAAGUCCGCUGUGAAAUCUCGAGGCUCAACUUCGAGCUGUCGGUGGAAACUGUCUGGCUAGAGUCCGGAAGAGGAGAAUGGAAUUCCUGGUGUAGCGGUGAAAUGCGCAGAUAUCAGGAAGAACACCCGUGGCGGAAGGCGGUUCUCUGGGGACGGUACGACGCUGAGACGCGAAAGCGUGGGGAGCGAACAGG